AAAAAAAAAAAGGUCCGGGCUUGAUGGCUCACACCUGUAAUCCCAGCACUUUGGGAGGCCGAGGUGGAUGGAUCACGAGGUCAGGAGAUCGAGACCAUCCUGGAUAACAUGGUGAAACCCCAUCUCUACUAAAAAACAUACAAAAAAUUAGCCGGGCGUGGCAGCAAGCGCCUGUAGUCCCAGCUACUCAGGAGGCUGAGGCAGGAGAAUGGCGGGAACCUGGCAGGCGGCGCUUGCAGUGAGCCGAGAUGGCGCCACUGCAUUCCAGCCUGGGCGACAGAGCGAGACUCCGUCUCAAAAAAAAAAAAAAAAAAAAAAAAAAGGAAGAAAGGAAGGUGAGGGCAGGCUGUCCGAUCUUAGCACCCUGCUGCUUCCCAGGUUCUGAAUGGUGCUGCUGUGGUGCGUCCCCCAGGACACCACGCAGAGCAGGAUGCAGCUUGCGGUUUUUGCUUUUUCAACUCUGUGGCUGUGGCUGCUCGCCAUGCCCAGGCUAUCAGUGGGCAUGCCCUACGGAUCCUGAUUGUGGAUUGGGAUGUCCACCACGGUAAUGGAACUCA
rnacentral:sRNA from 1 species